GCCGGGUGCGGCGAUGCGCGCCUGUAGUCCCACUUUUCCGGAGGCUGAGGCGGGAGGAUCGCUUGAGCCUGGGGACUCGAGACCAGCCUGGGCAACAUAGUGAGACCCCGUCUCUA
ensembl:misc_RNA Metazoa_SRP Metazoan signal recognition particle RNA